rnacentral:rRNA from 1 species
AUUGAACGCUGGCGGCAGGCCUAACACAUGCAAGUCGAACGGUAACAGGAAGCAGCUUGCUGCUUUGCUGACGAGUGGCGGACGGGUGAGUAAUGUCUGUGAAACUGCCUGAUGGAGGGGGAUAACUACUGGAAACGGUAGCUAAUACCGCAUAACGUCGCAAGACCAAAGGGGGGGACCUUCGGGCCUCUUGCCAUCGGAUGUGCCCAGAUGGGAUUAGCUAGUAGGUGGGGUAACGGCUCACCUAGGCGACGAUCCCUAGCUGGUCUGAGAGGAUGACCAGCCACACUGGAACUGAGACACGGUCCAGACUCCUACGGGAGGCAGCAGUGGGGAAUAUUGCACAAUGGGCGAAAGCCUGAUGCAGCCAUGCCGCGUGUAUGAAGAAGGCCUUCGGGUUGUAAAGUACUUUCAGCGGGGAGGAAGGGAGUAAAGUUAAUACCUUUGCUCAUUGACGUUACCCGCAGAAGAAGCACCGGCUAACUCCGUG